UGCGCGCAGAGGGGAAUUCCUCUCAAGGA
rnacentral:piRNA from 1 species